GAUCAUGGCUCAGGACGAACGCUGGCGGCGUGCUUAACACAUGCAAGUCGAACGGAGUUUCUUGGAUCAAGACUUCGGUCAAGUGAAUGGAAACUUAGUGGCGGACUGGUGAGUAACGCGUGAGGAACCUGCCUUUCAGUGGGGGACAACAGUUGGAAACGACUGCUAAUACCGCAUAAUGUUAUUUAAGGGCAUCCUUGAAUAACCAAAGCUUUAUGUGCUGAAAGAUGGUCUCGCGUCUGAUUAGCUAGAUGGCGGGGUAACGGCCCACCAAGUCGACGAUCGGUAGCCGGACUGAGAGGUUGAACGGCCACAUUGGGACUGAGACACGGCCCAGACUCCUACGGGAGGCAGCAGUGGGGAAUAUUGCACAAUGGAGGAAACUCUGAUGCAGCGACGCCGCGUGAGGGAAGAAGGUUUUCGGAUUGUAAACCUCUGUCUUCGGGGACGAUAAUGACGGUACCCGAGGAGGAAGCACCGGCUAACUACGUG
rnacentral:rRNA from 1 species